rnacentral:rRNA from 1 species
UAUACAUGCAGUCGAACGAGUUCUCGUUGAUGAUCGGUGCUUGCACCGAGAUUCAACAUGGAACGAGUGGCGGACGGGUGAGUAACACGUGGGUAACCUGCCCUUAAGUGGGGGAUAACAUUUGGAAACAGAUGCUAAUACCGCAUAGAUCCAAGAACCGCAUGGUUCUUGGCUGAAAGAUGGCGUAAGCUAUCGCUUUUGGAUGGACCCGCGGCGUAUUAGCUAGUUGGUGAGGUAAUGGCUCACCAAGGCGAUGAUACGUAGCCGAACUGAGAGGUUGAUCGGCCACAUUGGGACUGAGACACGGCCCAAACUCCUACGGGAGGCAGCAGUAGGGAAUCUUCCACAAUGGACGCAAGUCUGAUGGAGCAACGCCGCGUGAGUGAAGAAGGCUUUCGGGUCGUAAAACUCUGUUGUUGGAGAAGAAUGGUCGGCAGAGUAACUGUUGUCGGCGUGACGGUAUCCAACCAGAAAGCCACGGCUAACUACGUGCCAGCAGCCGCGGUAAUACGUAGGUGGCAAGCGUUAUCCGGAUUUAUUGGGCGUAAAGCGAGCGCAGGCGGUUUUUUAAGUCUGAUGUGAAAGCCCUCGGCUUAACCGAGGAAGCGCAUCGGAAACUGGGAAACUUGAGUGCAGAAGAGGACAGUGGAACUCCAUGUGUAGCGGUGAAAUGCGUAGAUAUAUGGAAGAACACCAGUGGCGAAGGCGGCUGUCUGGUCUGUAACUGACGCUGAGGCUCGAAAGCAUGGGUAGCGAACAGGAUUAGAUACCCUGGUAGUCCAUGCCGUAAACGAUGAAUGCUAGGUGUUGGAGGGUUUCCGCCCUUCAGUGCCGCAGCUAACGCAUUAAGCAUUCCGCCUGGGGAGUACGACCGCAAGGUUGAAACUCAAAGGAAUUGACGGGGGCCCGCACAAGCGGUGGAGCAUGUGGUUUAAUUCGAAGCAACGCGAAGAACCUUACCAGGUCUUGACAUCUUUUGAUCACCUGAGAGAUCAGGUUUCCCCUUCGGGGGCAAAAUGACAGGUGGUGCAUGGUUGUCGUCAGCUCGUGUCGUGAGAUGUUGGGUUAAGUCCCGCAACGAGCGCAACCCUUAUGACUAGUUGCCAGCAUUUAGUUGGGCACUCUAGUAAGACUGCCGGUGACAAACCGGAGGAAGGUGGGGAUGACGUCAAAUCAUCAUGCCCCUUAUGACCUGGGCUACACACGUGCUACAAUGGAUGGUACAACGAGUUGCGAGACCGCGAGGUCAAGCUAAUCUCUUAAAGCCAUUCUCAGUUCGGACUGUAGGCUGCAACUCGCCUACACGAAGUCGGAAUCGCUAGUAAUCGCGGAUCAGCACGCCGCGGUGAAUACGUUCCCGGGCCUUGUACACACCGCCCGUCACACCAUGAGAGUUUGUAACACCCGAAGCCGGUGGCGUAACCCUUUUAGGGAGCGAGCCGUCUAAGGUGGGACAAAUGAUUAGGGUGAAGUCGUAACACGA